GCCACGCUGAGUCUGACAACUUCAUCUUCUGGCAAGACAUGAAGUGGAAGAACAAAUUUUGGGGCAAAUCCCUGGAGAUUGUGCCCAUGGGCACGGUGAACGUGCGGCUGCCCAGGUCCGGCGACCACUUUGAGUGGAACAAGGUGACCACGUGCAUCCACAACGUGCUGAGCGGCCCGCGCUGGAUCGAGCACUACGGCGAGGUGCUCAUCCGCAACACGCGCGA